rnacentral:rRNA from 1 species
UCUGGCUCAGGACGAACGCUGGCGGCAGGCCUAACACAUGCAAGUCGAGGGAGAAGCUUAUCUUCGGGUAAGUGGAGACCGGCGGACGGGUGAGUAACGCGUGGGAACGUGCCCUUUGGUACGGGAUAACAUCUGGAAACGGGUGCUAAUACCGUAUAAGCCAAUUUAUUGGGAAAGAUUUAUCGCCGAAGGAUCGGCCCGCGUAAGAUUAGGUAGUUGGUGAGGUAACGGCUCACCAAGCCUACGAUCUUUAGCUGGUCUGAGAGGAUGAUCAGCCACACUGGGACUGAGACACGGCCCAGACUCCUACGGGAGGCAGCAGUGGGGAAUAUUGGACAAUGGGCGCAAGCCUGAUCCAGCCAUGCCGCAUAAGUGAAGAAGGCCUUAGGGUUGUAAAACUCUUUCACCGGUGAAGAUAAUGACGGUAACCGGAAAAGAAGCCCCGGCUAACUCCGUGCCAGCAGCCGCGGUAAUACGGAGGGGGCUAGCGUUGUUCGGAAUCACUGGGCGUAAAGCGCGCGUAGGCGGUUUGAUAAGUUGGGCGUGAAAUCCCGGGGCUCAACCCCGGAACUGCGCUCAAAACUGUUAGACUAGAGUCCGGGAGAGGGUGGUGAAUUUCCAGUGUAGAGGUGAAAUUCGUAGAUAUUUGGAAAGAACAACCAGUGGCGAAGGCGACCACCUGGCCCGGGUACUGACGCUGAGGUGCGAAAAGCGUGGGGAGCAAGCAGGAAUAGAAUACCCUGGUAAGUCCACGCCCGUAAACGAUGAAUGCCAAGAUGUCGGGGCAGCAUGGCUGUUCGGGGGUCGAAACUAAACCCAUAAAGCACUCCGGCCUGGGAAAGUACGGGCCCCCAAGGGGAAAAACUCCAAAGGAAUUGACGGGGGCCCGCACAAGCGGUGGAGCAUGUGGUUUAAUUCGAUGCAACGCGCAGAACCUUACCAGCCCUUGACAUCCCGAUCGCGGGGACCAGAGAUGGACCCUUUCAGUUCGGCUGGAUCGGAGACAGGUGCUGCAUGGCUGUCGUCAGCUCGUGUCGUGAGAUGUUGGGUUAAGUCCCGCAACGAGCGCAACCCUCGCCUUCAGUUGCCAUCAUUUAGUUGGGCACUCUGAAGGAACCGCCGGUGACAAGCCGGAGGAAGGUGGGGAUGAUGUCAAGUCCUCAUGGCCCUUAUGGGCUGGGCUACACACGUGCUACAAUGGCGGUAACAAUGGGCAGCGAAGCCGUGGGGUGGAGCAAAUCCCCAAAAGCCGUCUCAGUUCGGAUUGUUCUCUGCAACUCGAGAGCAUGAAGUUGGAAUCGCUAGUAAUCGUGGAUCAGCAUGCCACGGUGAAUACGUUCCCGGGCCUUGUACACACCGCCCGUCACACCAUGGGAGUUGGUUCUACCCGAAGCCGGUGCGCUAA